rnacentral:rRNA from 1 species
AGGACGAACGCUGGCGGCGUGCUUAACACAUGCAAGUCGAGCGGUAAGGCCUUUCGGGGUACACGAGCGGCGAACGGGUGAGUAACACGUGGGUGAUCUGCCCUGCACUUCGGGAUAAGCCUGGGAAACUGGGUCUAAUACCGGAUAUGACCUCAGGUUGCAUGACUUGGGGUGGAAAGAUUUAUCGGUGCAGGAUGGGCCCGCGGCCUAUCAGCUUGUUGGUGGGGUAAUGGCCUACCAAGGCGACGACGGGUAGCCGACCUGAGAGGGUGACCGGCCACACUGGGACUGAGACACGGCCCAGACUCCUACGGGAGGCAGCAGUGGGAAUAUUGCACAAUGGGCGCAAGCCUGAUGCAGCAACGCCGCGUGAGGACGAAGGCCUUCGGGUUGUAAACCGUCUUUUAGUAGGAAGAAGCGAGGUGUUUAUUCACUUCAUGACGGUACCUGCAGAAAAAGCACCGGCUAACUACGUGCCAGCAGCCGC